CAGUAGCCGCGGGAAUACGAAGGGUGCAAGCGUUACUCGGAAUUACUGGGCGUAAAGCGUGCGUAGGUGGUUGUUUAAGUCCGUUGUGAAAGCCCUGGGCUCAACCUGGGAAUUGCAGUGGAUACUGGGCAACUAGAGUGUGGUAGAGGAUAGUGGAAUUUCCGGUGUAGCAGUGAAAUGCGUAGAGAUCGGAAGGAACAUCUGUGGCGAAGGCGACUAUCUGGGCCAACACUGACACUGAGGCACGAAAGCGUGGGGAGCAAACAGGAUUAGAGACCCGUGUAGUCCCUGUUCUUAUACA
rnacentral:rRNA from 1 species